GUCAGUGUGGCUCAGUGGUUACAGUGCUGAGCUGGGAUUUGAAAGAUCCAGCUUCAAAUGCUGACCCAGUCA